UAAAAUUUUCUGUCAAUUCUCAUAGAAAUACAAUUAUAUAAGGAGUUUACUUUAUAGCAGCAUAACUUUGAAUCUUGUUGUAGUUAACUGCAACCCUUAGAAUCUCUUUACUUUUGCCAGGUACCAGAUGGGCAAAUGAAAGGAUCUGUCUGCAAGAGUUGGCUACUCCUCAAUCUGUUCUGAAAUUUAUCUCUUAUUGGAGUUUUUAUUAUGAGAGAACAUAUUAUUUUAUUUCUACUGUAGGAUUUGACAGAAAAAAUAUCUGCACUUGUCCUAACUUUUAAGUAGUGUGCAUACGUAAAACAAAUGGGAAAACACUUAUCUAUACAGAAAUAUAUCAGCAACAAGAAUAAAGAGAGACACACAUUUUUCUUAAGUGCUUAAAGGUUUACAAAGCUAUUUCUACAAAUAAAUCAGAGCCAGAAAAUAAAGUAUGGGAGGCUAAUUAUUAACACACUCAUUGGCGUGAUGUAUGUCCCUGCCAGGUAGUAUUUCCUUGAGAAAAUCUCUGGGCAAGGUAAUAAAGUAACAUUUGCCAAGAAUUAUUUCUAAAGAGCAGGACAAGGCUGAGGUUUGGGUCCAUCCAGGAGAAUCCCAGCAGACUUCCUAGCCAGUCGGUGGUUCUGUAUGCCUGCUCAUCAUGUUCCACAGCACUGAAAAUGAGUUUCUCAGUUUUAUGAUACAAAAAUCUCAUUCUGAUGGGCAACCACACAGCUUUCAAUUUACUUUGAACUGAAAAAUUGUGAAAUAUCUCUGUCAAAGAAUGGUCCCUGGCACUGUUUCAUCUUUAGAAACAGAACUGUAGAGCAUUUUGAAGUGGGCUUUGGGACAGGUCUAUAAGCAGGACAGAAACAUUGUGACAAGUGCUUUUCUUGCAGUCUCCAGAAUGAGAGCCCAUUACAUUUUGUCUGGUAUUUUCAAUGAAAAUACAAAGACAUUUAAUAUCUUUUAUUUUAAUAACGAAAAAAUAUUCCCUUUACUUCAAACUUUUUAGAAGUGUUCUUUUGAAUUUCGCAUUUUUAUCAAGAUCUGGUGAUUAAUUCCUUAUUCUGCCACUUGAAAUGUACAGCCUGAAUUUUUGGCACAUGCUGAAUACUAAUCUACACUGAAUACCAAUCUGGAACUUCACAAUGGCUCAUUUUAAGUCAAUUAUUUGUAGCAGGGAGAUCUGGUUAGCAGGAACAGCAGCACAGAGAUUGUACAAUUGUUUAAAUGAAGACAGUACUUCUAAUUUCACUGAUGUGUAUUAUUCCACUCCUGGCAGUUCCACUAUUGUUUGUGCAAGAAACACAGUGGGUAAAGUUCCGUGUCAUAACAGGAUUCAGACUUCCAGCCAGCUGGUGUUCUUACUGGUAAAAGGAAGGUGGAGUGAUACACUCAUAUUUCUUUAUCAUAUUUAGAUACACUUUAUCACCCACAGUAAUCUUACCACAGUAAAUAAUUCAGUUUUACAGCUCCAUGUAUGGGUUUGACUGUUUCCAGACUCCCCACCAAAUUGCGUCCAUGGUGCGUCCUGCCCCAAGUCCAGUGGGCAAAGGUGUGGUGAAAUGAAACUCCAUUCAUUUUUCUAAAGGUCUUUGUUCUGUUCUAAGAUUUAGGGAUAGUAUGUGUAAUUCUCAAACUUGAUCUGGUUCAGUGUGCCUGCAACUACAACUUGUGGGUUCAUAAGUGGGCACAGAAUGGAUUAAUAGGUUUUUUAGAAAAUAAUGGCCUUACUAAGUCUGAAUGGUCAAGUUAGUGAGAUCUUUUAUAAAUAAUAUUAAACAAGUAAGGCAUUCAAUUUAAUCUGGCUCUUUGAUCAAAUAGGAGUGAAAAGAAAACACAAAGUAGCUUUCACUCAAAAUACAUGGAAAUUAUUUAUAUAAUAUAUAUUUUCAUGGUCUUGCUAAUGACCUGUAAAAGCAAUGGCAUAAAUGGAUUCAAUAUAACACUAUAACACUAUUUAAAAUUAAACAAAAUGUUAAGAAAACAUCAUUCCUUAACAACCAUUAGCUUGUAGAAAGCUAUCUACAGAAGGCAAUCAGUUUCACCACAGAUAUUUAUUAGAUGCCAAUUAUAUAUUGUUUUGGUUUGAAAAGACAGGUGUUUGCUAAGGAAGGCAAGAGCCUUCCUUGAAAUGGAAAAUGUAAACCCUCUCCCUCGGAAUUAUUAUAAUUUUUGGAAUUAAGAGGUUCUUAGGUAGAGAUAUGGGAAUAACAGUUCUUUACUAGGAAAAUUUUAAAAUACAAAUGUGUGAAAAAUGCCAAUCACUUGUUUUUCAAAUUUUUAAAAGUUUAAUUGUAAUAAAAUGGUUAUAACCAUUUUAUAGUAUAUAAAAUAGUAAUAGUAAUAUAAUUAGAGUAAUAAAAUUUGAACGGUUGAGAUUAGGACAAUAUGAGACAAUAAAAACAAAGAGUUAUGGAUGUCUAGCUACCUUUUUAUGGGCAACACAAGACUGAAAAAGGACACCCGUUAACAAAGGAUUAACCCUUAAAAAUGAUAGCCUGUUGCAUAUUCAUAUACUUCAUACAUGAUGCAUAAAUUCUAUUCAAAUAAAGUAUUCUGUCUUUUCAUCAUCAAAUUCUCCUCUUAAUCAUAACAGCUUCUUUUUGACUGAACCAGGCGGGAAGAAGUUUGUUUCUCCUGAUAAAAGAGCAAUAAAUUCUCUUUCUCUGAAAGAUGUAGGUGUCCUGCAGCCACCAUCUAGUGGGAGCACCUCAUUCCUUUCUAAAAAGAAAACAUUCCACAUACAUAGUUCCUAUUUUAACUACAAAAGUUACCUUUUAACUAUGAAACUACAUUUACCAUACUGUUAAAAUGUUAAUACAGCAUAAAUUUCUAACAUAACACAUAUACUAUUCAUUUUAAUAUUUGCAAAAAGCCAAUCAUAAAAUACACAUUUUUCACAAAAUGCAGUAGUACCAACAAAACCACUGACAGAGUCAGGAUACAACUUGACACCCUGUGGGUCAGGGAGGUGGUAGCAGUCCAGUGAAUGGUGGCUGCAGUCCUGCAGUGACAGGUGCGGUUCUGUUGAAGUAGUGAUCCUGUAGAAGGGUGUAGUUUUCACUUAAGGUUGUCUGGUUGUGUAGAUGGGGCUGGUCUUCCUCUGGGAAUGCAGUCAAGAAGAAAGCUGCUCUUGGAAUUUAGUGGGGAAAGGCUGUUCCUCUGGCAAUCCAGUAGAAAAGGCUUUUUCUAUUGUUCUAAAUCUCAGAUUAUAUCUAGGUAGGAAUGCUUGGUUCUUCUCUUUGGGCUGGAGCAUCUCAUAAUGGGAUGAUGUAAUUUUUACUAGUCAUGUAGUAACACUCAAUGGCCCAUUAACAGAAGAUAUCUCCCCGGAAGGAGGAUUGGUUGUGGAAGAUAUAAACUGCCCAAUUAACAGAGGAUAACUACCCUGCUUUUAACAGAUGGUAAUUGAAUACACACCCAACUAAACUUGAGACUCAUAUUUAGAUGAUAUGUCUGUAGUCAGUGACUUGCCAAAUUGCAGAGCCUCACAGCAGCUGUUGCAUUUUGCCUUCUGCCUUAACUUUGUGUGAGCUUUCCUAUCUAAAAACCUGUGCUUCCAGACUCCACUGCACAGAAAUGGGGAGAGUUGAGAGCAGUAGCUGGUGUUUGAGUGGGCUUUUAUGGAAGGUCUGUACUCCAGAGUGCCCUCCAGAGGGUGUAAGCACUGAAAUGCCCAGACAAUUUUCUCACAGAGACCUCCCAAGUGAUGAGCAGAGGGAUUAAGGGCCUGCUACUCUGCUUUUGCCCUGCUUGAAACAAUAUUUACGUUGAAUAUGGCUGGCCCUCCUAGGUAGGGGAAGGUCUCAUUUUUUGUGUUUACCAAUGUGAAGAUCAAAGGGAUUGAUUGCUUUUAAAAUUAAAAUACUAGAAAUUUAAUUUUCCUUUCAUUUGUUCCUAGCCAUGUGCUGGAAGGUAGGUGGCAUGAAUCUCCUUGCUAUAUUACUGUGAUGUAACUGUAUCCCCCAACACUGCUCGGCUUUCUCAGCAGCUGAGGAGAAUCUCCCACAGCAGUGCUACAUUUGUGUAGAAAGGGACUGUGGUCAUGUUGAUCUGCAUGUGGAAGCAGGACAGAGCACCAGGCUGCUCCCCCUUCUGCCUCAGAACAAGAGAACAGCUUUGCCCUUGACCAUCCACCCAGAGGCAGUGUGUGGAGCAAGGCAGUGCUGCAGAGAAGCUGUGGAAGUGUUUGCUACCUUUACACAUGCAAGGCAGUCCCUUGGAGGGGCCUGUUUCCCUACCCUGAACUGUAAGAGAUUGCUGCUAGAGAGCUGUAAGAGAGACAGCUCAUCUCUCCCUGAGCGAAAAAAAAACAACCAAAAAAACCUGCUUGUGUAUGUGGUAUGUAAAUAUCUCCAUAAAAUAUUAAACAGCCAUUACAAUAUGUCCAAACCAGUCACAUUUGUUAAAACAAACUUUUUGUAGCACUGUUAAUAAGGAAGAUGUGGCUUUUGUUAAGUUACAGCACAUUCUACCUUCUUUCUGAAAUUUUCUUCUCAAACUAGCCUAACAGAGUGAAACAGCUCAAUGAACAUGUCAGUUUGAAAAAAGUGUAGCACUUCAUGCAUAAAUGUAUAGGUGUGUGAUAUACAUAGGCCACAGUCCUUGAUAGAAAAACUCAUGUGAUGCAAGACCAGGGUUUAUAGUUCACUGGGCAAAAUGGAACUCUUGUAUUCAACUCAGACAUGCUGCAUUAUCUGUAAUAUAAAACAGUUUGAAAACUUCACUUAAUCCAUUUUGGGAAUAGAGCAUGCACUGGACAUGGGAUGGACAGUAAUUAUAUCCAGAUUUGUGGGGGUGACAAAAAGGGAAACAAGAAGAUAGAUACAUACCCUUUUUUGUUGUUGGUUUACAUCUUUGCAAUUGCCAUUGUCUUCGUUAUUGUUCAUUGUUGACUUUCUCAAUGCAAAUCAAACUUCUGCCCUUACAGAAGCCUGCCCUUUCUUCUGAUGAAACUAGUUCAAGAAGAUACUAUUCACCAAGUCGCUUGUAAUUUUUAUUUAAAGGGGGUAGCAGAGUGGGAUGGGGCAGGAAUGAGAAACUGUGACCCAGAGUAAUGUGGGAGUUUCCUAAAUUGGUACAUUCAAUGCCAAAAAUAGGUUAGAAACUGUUGUAAAAUAGUUGAUAAUUGUCACUGCCAUAUUUUCUGAAAAAUCCCUUUACCAGGAUUUCUUCUCCUGUGAAACUGAGAAGCCUCAGAGAAAAAUGAAAACAAUAUUAUCUCCUUUGCUUCUCCUGUGUUUUGCUGCUUUGGAAUGGGGUUUGGAGAUUGUUUAUCCAACAUGUGAAUUAUUUUUACUUAAUGACCAAUCACAGUCCAGCCGUGUUGGACUCUGAAGAGAGAAUCACGGGUUUUCAUUAUCAUUCUUUCUAGCCUUCUGUAUGUAUCCUUUCUCUACUCUUUUAGUAUAGUUUUAGUUUAAGUAUACUUUAAUAUUAUAUAAUACAAUAACAUAAUAAAUUAGCCUUCUAAGAACAUGGAGUCAGAUUCAUCAAUUUCUUUCCUUCAACAGGGAUCCCAGAAACUACCACAGAUAAUUGUUAAGCACGUACUGUUAGUUUGGUUACUAUAAUGUAAAAAGGGUUAAAAAGGUAGUUAUAAGAAAUAUAAGAAAUACAGUUCUCAAUGUAUUACACCUAAGUAAAGUGCACCACCGCCCACAAGCAAAACGAGCCAGGCUGGAAAGAAAUGUAAUGGGCCAAUCAAGCGCCUUAAACCUUCAUGCAAAUGAAGAAUUCAAAGAGAAACCAAUCCAAACGGAUAGAAAACAGGAAAAAAGGGGGUAUCUGACCCACUGACCCAGUGCUGCUCCACCUGGAACAUUGGGGACAUCGCUGCUGAAGAAGACCCAGCACUGGUGCUGCAGCAUCUUCGACGGGAACACUCCUGCUCAACCUGCAGCCCCCAUGCUUUAGGCCUCUUUUUGUUAUAAUAAACACUGAAAUCACUUUAGUAUUGGGAGCGUGGGCCCAUUUUUAACAGCUUGGGAACUCAUACGAGACCAAACUCACCCAAACAAAGGAUGGGACAGCCGCCUGUCCUCCAUGGAGGGACCUUGCGUCGGUAUCCGGGAAGAAGGCCUGAGGGCAGUAAGUAUCACCUAACCACCCUCUGGGGAGGGCCCGAGGGAACGGAGGUGAGUGAGUGUGUGUGAAGAGCAUGUUUGAGACAGGGCCAGCAGCUCAAGCAGCUUGGAGUCCCAACGUGAGUGAGGACAUAGGUACAACCUAGUACCAUGGUUCCGGCCCUCUGCGAGGACACCAGCUGGGAAUGGAGGGAAGCAAAAGAGGGAAGACCGAGUGAGGCGGCCCCCUACCCCUCCUUGUUGUGGCACCCAGGCAGGCCUCAUUAAAGCCUGAUAAACCAUUGUUUCCCGGGCUUGUGGGGACUGUGGGGAAAGAGUGAGUUACAUGCAAAUCAGCUUCAUCUUCCCGGCUGGGUAGGGGUUGUGGAUAAAGAUCUAAGUGACCCGCAAAUCAGCCUCAGCUUCUCGGGCAUGUGAGAGCUGUGGCAAAGGUUUGCGUGACACACAGACAACCUCACAGGUGAACUGACACCAGAGGUGACCAGGUUUAGGGUCCUUCCCAGAGACCCAGCAGUACUGAAGCCUGGAGAGGCUGAUCCCAAGGCGAUGGGGGCCACAAUAUCGUAGGACCUUUAUAGCACCGUGGCUGCGAGGCGCGGUCAGGAGGCCCAUUCCUCAGCGUACGGGUGGUGGGAAGUCCAGCUUGGGCAAGGCGUGGAGGUCCAAACCCCUGACUGUGAGGCUAUCUCUAGGGAAGAGAGAUAGCCAAACCUUGGGGGAAGUAGAAGGAGUCAGGGUAGGGGCCUACGUGGACCAGUGAUCCUCUGGCAACAGGGGUCUACUUCGUGCAAGUCUAAGAGGUUUGCCAAUGUUUCCUUCCUCUGUUCAAUAAAAGCAAAGGGAAAUUUAUGGAGUGUGAACUUAGGUCAGUGGGGAAACUUAGUGUGUCAGUACUUAAGGUUCUGGGGUGUUCAAAAAAGGUACCUUGCAUAGUCCGGGUGGGCAAGGCACAAAGAACCAAAAACUCAGUUAAGCAGAAGUUGAGAAGUAUGAAUGAACAGGCCUGAGGGUGUGAAUGAAAGUGUGAGUGAAUGUGAGAUAAGAGUGUUGCUCCUGCAGCGUGUGCAACUGACAAAGAGUAAGUGCUCCUUAGAUAAGAGUGCCCAAGGACACCAAAGUCGAUAGCUGCAAGGACACUUGUUGCACACAGAAAAAGAGAUUAGGAGGACAUAUCUCUCUUAAGUUAAAAAAGGAAUAAAACAGAACUUCUAAAGGGGCCGUUUACGAAGAAAUAUGUAGGGAUGAUUUAAACUCACAUGUGGGGUCUGAGGAAUGCUACGGAAAGACCGCAUACCAUUACGACAUUGCAGCCGACAGCAGGAAGGGAUCUAAUUUACAAUCGAGGACCUGGCCUGGGUGGAGACCAACUGCACCUGAAUGAUUAUUGCUCGAGAUCAAGAUAGUGAGAGCUAUUGGAGAAUUGCAUUCAAAUGUCAAGUUCCUGCAACCUCACCACCAGCCAUCACUACCUGCCAGGAACUACGCUGUCAAACACAACCCAGAGGAAGGGGACAACGUGAUUAUGCUUGACCAGCAAUCAUUGCUGGCCAGGAACUGCAUUCUCCAGUCCAUCUCGAAGAAAGGAAACAACAUGAAUAUGAUUGACUAUGAAAAGAACAAGAGAGACUCUGCCUCGGGCCAGAAAAACAGUAUAAAAACAGGCUGUAUCAGCCCACAUUUGUGAAAAGAGGGGGUCUGAUGCAAUAGAGAUUGGACCAGUGUUCACCCAGCGCCGAUCCCGGAGUCGACACUGUCCCUUUGAUUGUGGCUAUCGAGACUGUACAUCAGUCACAAAAUAAAAUGUAUCUUUAUUAAUUA